rnacentral:lncRNA from 1 species
GUGCUGACAGCCAUGAUACGGUGAUGGAAACGGCUUCCCGCAUGAUUUCUUUCUCUAUGGAGAUAUGAAUGUGGAACAGGAAAUGUUAUUAGCAAGCGCCCACGAAAUGCCCCCCUUCAGUCCUAUGUAAUCUCAGGGAUUUAUAUUCCCCGUGACACCCUGCUCUGUCUCCCCGUGACACCCUGCUCUGUCUCCCCGUGACACCCUGCGCUGUCUCCCCGUGACACCCUGCGCUGUCUCCCCGUGACACCCUGCGCUGUCUCCCCGUGACACCCUGCGCUGUCUCCCCGUGACGGUCUGCGCUGUCUCCCCGUGACGUUCUGAACUCUGUCCUCGUGACACUCUGCGCGGUCUCUCCAGGAUAUUCUGUACUGUCUCCUUGUGACACUCUGCUCGGUCUCCCCAUGAUACUCUGUGCUGUCUCCUUGUGACACUCUAUUCUUGUCCGGGCAGUGCCAGCGAGGAUAUCGAGGUGGGUAGCAAGCUAAUAUCCAAUACAAUGGGUUAUAGUACAAUAGUGGCAAUAUUGUUUUGUAGUGUUUACACCUAGAGAGCCUACGGUUACCAAACCUGUGAUUUGUAGACAUUUCACUGUACAUGAUUAAUGGUAUAGUCUAGUAAGUGACUUUGGAGGAGAGACACUGCUCCUGCAAAAUGCAAAUGUUUUCAUUUUUCAAUGCCCACCAACUAGCGGCUGUCAAUCAGACUGUCACUGCGGGCGCCUGACAUAAUUAAAUUCUAUAAUUAAUCUAUUUGAUGCCCGGAGUCAGCAUGCAGAGUAUACGGACACUGUGUGCAUAUAAUCAGAAACAUCACAUUAAAAUUAAAAAAUUGUAGGGACUAGAAACAUAAUAUAUACAAAAAAAAUAACCAUUGGGAAUAAAAUGCAAAGUUCUAAUAGUGAAGCAGUAAGUGUGAUGCUUCCAUUGGUUUCCAUGGCGAUUGCACCACAUUUAAACUGUUAUUCCACGGUAGCUACGGAUUCCAAUAAACCUUCUCGUUUAUCAAGCUAUACCGAUCGGGAUUUUUUUUUUACUUAUUUGAUGUUACUCUUGGCUUCUAAAUCCACCAGGACUAUUCCCGAAACCAGAUAUUAACAAGGAAAUUGCAAAUUUAAUAAGCUCCGCUUAUUUGCAACCCUUUGGUCAAAUCCCGAAAAUGCACAUUUUAGUUAAUAAAUGUGAAUUCUUUUGCCAGAGGGUGAAACAAUUUCGUUUUUAAGCAUUUAUGUUUGUUUUCCGAGGAUAAAAAUCAUUUUGGAAAACUAAAAUAAACACAGACCGAGUAAGCAAAAACUAAAACCAAUGUAAAUAAUGCUUUCUUUAACUUAAAUCACCUCUAGGAGGCAGCUUUGCCCACGUUCAUUGUCCACUUUAGAUUCUAAAUUUACAGAAAUUCAGUAAGGAGUUUUUAUCCCCAUAAAUAAGUGCUUUACAUGAAUCAGACACAUCCAGAUAAAGGAAGAAGCUUUGCAGAAAAUUCCUGAGGAAUUAGCAAUGUACAGAUGUUUGCUCUGAGCCCAGCCAGACAGAAUAUCCUGUUAAGUACAGGAGACUAAUUAUAUGGGAUGCAUGGAUCAAAUUCCGAUUUAAAUGAUACCCAUGUUCUUUAGAAUAGUGCGAGUUUCGAUAUUUCUAGGCUCUCCGUAGUGUUGUCAGGUGUUCCCCGUGCACAAUGAUUAAAUAGAAUGAGGUCACCCCACUCUGCACGCAGUGAACUCAAGCCCCGGCAAUACUAGCCCGUGUUAGGGUUAUUCUGCUCCCCUGAUAUUCUGCAUUAUUUCUGACCUUUUCCCAGCUGCUCCCCUUUGUAGAUCACUUGGCUUUGUUCCCCUGACUUCAAGCACCUGUUCUGUUAUUUUUGUGUUAUCACUUUUUUUUAUUUUUGUGUGUGCCCCUGUUAUCACCGUGUUCAGGUGACUGCCAGCCUGUGCGCACUUUAUUCCUAAACUAAAUAUUUUAUGUCUACAACAAGAGACCGAUUGGUCUUGGCAUCGUAUUAAUGAAGAAGGCAACAAGGCUAAUAUCCCCCAGCUGGGGGCUCCCAGGCCCCCCACAUGCCCAUGUUACAUUAAAUUAGAAUUUGAUCUCAGCCAUGUCCUAGCAGGACUCGAACAAACACUAUAAAAUCCUGCGAAGAAUAACCAUCAUUUUUAUUUAGAGUUUGAAUGUAUUAUCUGAAGAAUGUAUUGAAAAGGGCUAAUUUUUUUUCAUUUUUAAACUGGUCUUAAUUCUAUUUUUGUUUUUUUUUCUAUCAGUUUUUAUCUUACAAUUUGGGUGCACAAAAAUGCUGUUUGUUCACUUUCUGUAAUAUUUCCUCAAUCUUUCUUGUUUGAAGGGCAAUGAUCACGUGUCUGGGUUUCACUCCACAGAGUAAAACAUUAAAAAUCACCUAUACCUUAUAUAACAUUAUUUUCUCAGGACGGACCAUUUUCUUGUCAAUGUGUAUUAAAGAUUUAACAAUUGACAUCACAAUCCUGUUCAGUUCUGGCACAGCCAGGACACACAAUGCAAAUGAGGAAGAUACACAGAAACAUUGGGGGAGAUUUUUCAAACGCUUCUGUUCUUAAAAGUGCAGCGAUAACCGUGGAAACCAAUGAAAGCAGCAGAAACACUGGUGACCUCACAUCUUUUACAUUUUUAGAACAGGACAUGUUGAUAAAUCUCCCCCAAUCUUUGUUUGCCAUGCUCUUGCGAAGCUAGCUGAUGGCUACAUGUAACGUCUAGAGGUAAUACAGAGGUCUACACAUGUAAUCUUAUUGUUCAGACCCUAUAAAUGUGACUACUUACUUGUUAAAUAUAGGGAUAAGUAGUAUACAGAAUUUUAAAUAUCUUUUGGAAAGUGACAGCACUCCUUAAAGAGUUACUUUUGGUUUCUAGUCUUUAUUACUACUUCAAAGUGUCAGACAUAAUUCUUUUUUGAGUGGAUUCAAUUCUUUAUUUACCCACAGUAGGAACAGUCAGGGCCUCUGUGUUGACAAACGCCUGGGACAGUGUUUAAUAAGUGGGGUGGGCACCUUGACUCUUUGGCACGUAUCCUAAUGUGACAAACACAUCCUGCACCAAUGCAAAUAUCCUUUCUUACUCCGUAAGUACCGGCUCAGGGCAGCGGCUGCCUGGAGCAAGACCAUAAAGUGAAUUUAAAUCUAGGCUGUUAAAGUGAAACUGUCAUUUUUGUUUUUUGGCUCCCAGACACCAUGUGCAGAGAGACAGAGACUAGGUUACACCAUAACCUUAUAGCUGCUGUUAUAAUACACUGUGUGCAGGGAGACAGAGGACCUCCUUACACCAUAACCUUAUAGCUGCAGUUAUAAUACACUGUGUGCGGGGAGAUACCCGGAUUUCCUUACACCAUGAAAUUAGUAUUGGUGGUUGUUAUGCUUUGAGUGUCCCCUGUCUACGUUGGUGUUAAUCAACAUGACAUUAUCAGCUUGCAGUGGGCGGUUUUGCAAACAUCUGUUGCCUCAAUGAAAUUUCCUUGAAACUGACCCUCACAACUCUCAUAAACAUUAGACCUUAAUCUGCAAAAAAAAAAAAAAAAAAGGUUUCAAAUGUCUGGUAUUAACGCUAUAUCGGGAACGCUCUACAUGCUUCAACUCUUCAUUGUGUUAACUCUUUGAGGGAUUGUCUACUUAAAAUUGUACCUAAUAUUUCUAAAUAAUGCAAAAAGAAUUGCCCAAAAUGAGUUACCUUGUAAAGUGUCUUUUGGUGCACUGUUUAGUGGGUGUGUUUGCUGCAAUAAGACCCCCUCCUACGCCAGUCGCUUCAAUCAUCUCAUUAUAGUGGCUGAACUUUGUUCCUGUGUCGGUUUUUGUUUUUGAGGUAUGUGGGUUAUCCCCAAAGAGCAGUUCCAUAAGUCACAUAGAAUGAUUGGAACUGCACUGUCCCCAGCGCGACUCUCUCACCAGAGAUAUGCUUUAUUUGCAUUUAUUUUGGAUUUCUGUUGAUCCAUGACCAUUGUUUCUCGGAAUGGAAUAAUACUCAUUGCUCCCCCUGAUAUUAUGAUGGGCAUUUACUGCAAAGAUGAACCACCAGUGAAAUAUGGCCGUGCGCGAUUCACCCUUCAAUUAAAAUCAAAACGCGCAGUGUUAUAAAAUUUAUGAAAUCAGUAUUUAGGAGUUCAGAAUACAUUAACCAACCUCUUAUAAGUUGGUACAUCUCCAAUAAUUGUUCUCAUAGUAUUACCCAUAUCUACGCUGACUGUAAAACAAAAACUAAAACGAAAUUACAAUGAUAUAUCAGUGAACAAAGUGCGGCUGUUUUAAAAGCUCUUGCUAAAACUUGGUUGGUUUGCAACACGUUAAUAAUCAUUUACAUAGCAAUAGGUAUCUCCAUCUGUUUUUUUUUUUUGCAUAUAUGAAAAUAUAUCCCAAGUAAAGUAUUAAAAAAAUCCCAUCAUUUUUUUUAAUAUCUUUUUUUUAUCAGUCGCAGUAUAAAUUUACAUUUUAUUUCACAUAUUUUAAGUUUUUUAGAUAACAUUUUUUUAAAGAUCUUUUUUCGAAUAACCUUUGAGAUUUUCUUAGUUAAACCACUAGAUAUAAUUUAUUCUUGUUUGUGUUUAUGAUAAGCAAUAACGAUUAUUGAAGUAGAGACAAAAAAAUCCUUAUUAAACACAAAUUAUCCUUCUGGCUCUGAAGUAUUGUGUAAUUUAUGAAGCAGACACCAACCCAGCACAGAUAUUUACUGAAAUACCUGUGUUACUUUAACAUCCUAAAUAUCCGGAAGAAUACCGAUUUUUGUUCCAAGAUUAAAUCUCUACUCCCUUUCGAACAUAAGUAAAGCGUAAUUCUGGAGCAAAGUUCUAAAACUGGGGCAAUUGCCAUGGAAACCAAUGGAAUUUAGAGCUUUGCCCUGCGUAGCAGUUUAUACACGGUUCCAUGUGUCUUAAUGGGAGCCAGUGCCUGUCGAGCUCUUAGUGUGUAUCGAGCAAACGGGUGGGGGGGGCUUCACCAACUCGGCCAAUUGAAGUACUUGAUGGCGCGGCUGCUGUUGGCUCCUUGCCUGGAAUGCCCCCAGACACAGUAAAUUGUUUUGUGUCACAUGGCGUAGGACGGUUCUUGAAAGGCAAAAUACCAUGACUUCUUUUUAAUAAAUUCAUAAUUCCUUAAGUAGUUUUUUUUUUUUUUUGCCUCAGCUGAUGCGCAGUGACUUUGAUGGUUAUGGUAUAAGGAGGUCCUCUGUUUGACUGCACUGUCAAGUCAUUGCCUUUUCCCGAGUAUCUAAAUACUCACAACACAAAAACACGACAGAAGGUUAGGAACCUGCAUCCCUGCUUUAAUUAACAGCCACUCACAUCACUGUCAGCCAGAGAUUGAGGGGAGUUUAGACUAGCCAGAGUUACGGGAGCCCCCCUGCUCUCAAAGCCUUCUGCAAGAAUAUCGUAUUAUUAUUUAAAUAGUGCCAACACAUACUGCAGCCUUUUAGAAUUCAUAAAAGUAAGGUGGGACAGUUAGUGUUUUGAUGUAUGCAGAGAUUUCCAAUAGAAAUCCAUCUCUGCAUGCCAGCGGCCGCAGAUUAGAAAAGGGAUCUAAUUAUCAUGUAGUUAUUUUAUGUAUAUAAUCUACAGAUUAUGUAUAGAAAAUGUGAACAAAUGUGACGUGUUUUGUGGAAGUACAGGGUAUCCUGUAUCAAGCGAUAGCUGAUCUGUUACAAUUGUUGCAAAUGAAAGAAUAGAAAUGUGUACAUGUGCCCUAUAUGGUGAUCGUGCGGCCCAUUUAGAUACCGUUACACAGAACACAGAGGUGUUUUGGUAAAACAGAUUAUGUUUAGAGAUUUUUUCCAUUUCUUUAUACAUGACCAGUAAUAUGUACGGUAAAUCAUGUGAGGAGCUGGGAAUCUCCCAGGAUAUAUAUUUUAUUUUUUUCUCGCAGCCUGAUCUGUGUCCGUCAUCCCGCCAGGACAUUGUGCGCUGUGUGCUGUAAGGUCACCUUGCUCUGUGCACCAGAAGAAUACAGAGGAAUAAGG